ensembl:lncRNA
CCCAGGGCCUUGCGCUUCCUAGGCAAGCACUCUACCACUGAGCUAAAUCCCCAACCCCAGAAAGGCUGUUUUAUAUGCCUCAUAGUAGCCAACUAAUUUAUUCUAUAUGGCUCUCCCCUUUACUGUUCACGGAUGCCUUUUAAAAAUCUAGUUCUUGUUUGUUUGCUUUUGGUUUUGGAACAGUGUUACACUGCAUAGCCUUAGCUGGCUGGAACUUGCUAUCUAAACUGUCCAGUCUCGGGGUUCAGCUCCUUCUUGCCUCCUAAGUGCCCGGAUUGAAGGCAUGCACGGUCACACCAGCAUUAUCAGGCUUUUUAAAAAUUAGGAAAUUAUUGUAAUGUGUGUACAUGCACAUGUAAUGUGAUAAUUGAGCUUUUUAUUAAUUGAUGCCUUUUAUUGAGCAUCUACUAUGAGACUUGCCUUCUGAAAUUUUACCAAAACCUGCAAGAGUUGCCAUUUCCAUCUCCAAAAUGAGUUUUUCAACAUAUAUAACUUUACCCUAAACCACUGCUACAAGGUUUGGAUUUUAUUUUUAUUUUUCUCUUGUUGUUUUAUCCUCCAAUGGUAUUGUGGCCAUUGGUGUAAGACCCCAGAUUAGUCUUAAAUUCCUUAGUUCAAGUGAUUGUGGCUUUCCUCACUAUACUUAGUGAGUGUACAACACUGGAAUAAUAGGAUUGGAAUUUUUAUUGUUGUUAUAUUUUUCUUAGUAUUGGAUUUUUUUCUUUUUCUUUUUCUUUUUUCUUUUUUUCGGAGCUGGGGACCGAACCCAGGGCCUUGCGCUCGCUAGGCAAGCGCUCUACCGCUGAGCUAAAUCCCCAACCCCAGGAUUGGAUUUUUAAGUGUCCUUCGAAGGUUCAUUUGUUUGAGGCUUUGUUUUCUGAUAUGACAUGGGGAUCCUUUAGAGAUGGCUUUUUUUCUUUUCUUUUGUGAAGAAGUUGAUGAUGUAGCCUUGAAGGAAGCACUUCCCAACCCCAUACCUCCGAUUUCUUCAUGAGCAGCACUCUGCCUGUUCUCUUUGCCAUGAUGAUUUCUUUUUUGCAACAGGUUGAAAGGAGCAGAGCCAGUUGGCCAUGGACUGAAACUUUCAGAGCUACAGUUUGUCUUUAUGUGCAUGGGUGUUUUGCCCGCAUGUAGGUAUGUGUACUGUGCAUGUGCCUGAUUUCCAUGGAGGUUAAAAGAGGAUACCAAAUCACCUGAAACCGGACUUGCACACAGUUGUAAGCAGGCAUGUAGGUCCGGCGAAUUGAACCUAGGAUCUCCGGGAAAGCAGAUUCAGAGGAGUUAAUGUUGCCAUGACUAUCUCAGAAGGAGACAUGGACAGAGGAACAGGUAUCUCACUCCCGUAGGUUGGACCACUGAUCAUUGAGUAGGAGCUUCAUCUUUAAAAUUUGGGGUGUGCAGUUAUGAACUGGAAAAGGCUGCAUCGUGAAUGAAAACACAGUGCAGAGUGGGACCCGUGUUGCUCUCUGGAUAGAACAACAAGAGUGGCGCCCCAAGAAGAUGGAGAGUGACGUUUUGGGAGUUUCCCAUUGGAGCAAAGUGAGAGAAAGAUGGAGUGAAUGAGGUGUCUUUAUUUUGUGAGGGAUACAUAAACUGCUUCUCAAGGAUUGGAGAUUUCUACGUAUUACUCCUUUUUAAAGAUUUCUAUUUACCCGAUUGACAAACCAGAUCAGGGUUUUCAUUGAAUUCUGCUACAUGGAUAAAGGGCUCAAGGGCAAGGGAUAGCACCAGACGUGCUAAUUAACUGAGUGAAAAAGUACAACAAGCAUUCCCUGAAGUAGCUCCUGCUGUUUGUCCAACAGGGAAUUUUUCUCAUGGGAGAUGUUUGGCACAGGGAUGUUUCUCUUCAUGUAACUCUUCAGCUCACCAGACAAGUUGAACUUAAAUUUUUAUGGUCUUGUGAGUUAGUCCGAUAAAUGAAGGAGCAAGAAAGCCAACACCCAGUUGGCAAGAAUAUGACCUACUGACUGACAGCCAUUAAAAAACUCGAUUCAAUUGGCCUGAGCUUUUCUGUAUUCUAUUAAAAAUGAAAUUUCCCCCUCAGUGAAAGUAACAUGAUCAACAUUUUGAAAGUUAUGAACAUGCACAAUUAUAUAAGCCUUGAAGCAAUGACUUGUAAAAGUAUGGAUACUCUUCCUGUAAGCGGCCAGAGGUGACCCGUGGUUCAUGACUCUCUAGACCCACAAAACCAUGCAAAUUAAUAGACUCAAACCGUUAUGUUCACAUUAAGUUUAAUAUAAGUUCUACAUCGAAUAUGUACUUCUGGAUUUAUUAUUGUACAAAUUGGACUUAACAAAUUUUUAAUAUAAAAUGUAUUAUACACCAUACAUUAAUAGUUAUAUAUCUUGUUUCUUGAGAAUUAAUUUCUACCAAUUAUUUCCUUUUGAAUACUUGCUGUUGAAUUAUUCUCAAUAUACUUGUACAAAUUCCUGCCUGUAACUAGUAAAUGUGGAUAUUUCAUUAAACAAUUACUAUAUAACAUUCUCUGGAAGGUUCUGCUAAUAAUCUCAUCUGUGGUCCUAUACAUUGUUAAAAAUAUAUAGUUGCAUAUCUUCCGUUCCUGCAGAAUGCUUUUGUAGCUGCCGUUUUCUGCAGGGGGUCUGUGUUGCCCUGCCUUUUUCGUGAUUUGCAAAGUGGAAUUGAGUAUUGCUAUCGUGCCAAGCAGUAGGACGUCUUACAUAAUCAGUCCCUUUUUACUCCUAUGCAUGGGAACAACUAUUUUGAUCUAUAUACACAGCAAAUGUUUGAAAUUGAAAUAUGUCAAAUCAUAUACUGUGUUUAGAAUUAGGAGUCUGGCUGCUUUCGCUUCUUAAAUGGACCCAUUAUUUACCCAUGCUGGUGAGUUUUACACGAUUCUCUAAUUGUUCAACAUGUGGGAUCGUUCUACUUCUGACAGUUACGAGCAAGGUUCAUAUGUACUUUUAGGUAUAAGGUUUUUAAGAUUUAGAUUAAUUGUCCUUAGUUCUAUGUAUGAGUUCUUGUGCUUAUAGAGGCCAGACGCUUAAGGUAUCACAUUUCUUCUGAACCUGGUGUUAUAUAAAUAUUUGUAAGGUGUCCAGCACGGGUGAAUUUCUUUUUCUUUUGGUGUUUAAUUCUUUUCAUGUUCCCAAUAUGAAUUCUGUCAGAGGACCUUCCGUUCUUUAUUUCCUUUGCUGUACUUUACACUUUGAUGUGAUCCCAUUUGUCAGACUUUGCUGUUAUUUCUUAAGCUAUUCCUUUUCAGAAAUUAUUGCCUUUGAUUUUAAUGCAAAGUAUUCUCCAUUUUCCUUUACAAGUUGUAGUUUCUGGAUUUACAUUAGGGCCUUUUAUCCAUUUUGCACUAUUCUUUGGAUAGCGGGAAAAGCAGAGAUAUUCUGUAAGUGGGUAUCCUACUCUUUCUUUGGGAACUUUGUGUUGAAAGCGGAGAGACACGCUCAGUGUUUACAGCCCAGCCCUCGCAAUAGGCUCCCAUCGUGAUUCAGCAAAGUUGGUUCUCACUUUGGUAAGGGAGCUAAGGCAUAGGUAUGGCUUUUAAACAUACUAGAUUGGUGCCCGUGGUACCCAUCUAGGCAAUUUGCCAAAUUCAAGGUGAAAGGAAAAGCAUCUGAAUGUGACAGAGCCAGUGACAUGCCCACCAAGUCUCAGAAUUAUUACCAGAAUACACCUUGUGGUAAAGGUGCCAAGGCAUGGGAUUGUUUCCAGUGAGAAUUAACAAGCACAAUAGUUUGUCACUAUGAGCAGGAGUGGAAGCUGAAUUCACCAUGGCAGAUGCCUAUGUCAACUAUUUUAAUAAAUCCAUUCGUGGGGGUAGCUUGAGAGGUGGCUUGUAAGCCCUUUGGUGGAUUCCCAGCACCCUGUUUUGGCUUCUGCAUGGAAUGUGCACAUACAUACAUGGUGUACAAACAGACAUGCAGGUAGAACAUCUAUAUGCAUAAAACAAAACCAAUCAUAAUGCUGAUGUUUUUUUAAGAAGGUUUUCUACAUCCUUGUGGUCUCCUGAUCUAGUAUAGUCUGAAGUCUGAUAUUGGUAUUGGUCAUUGGUCUGAUGAUUGCCUUGGCUCUUUUCGUAUGAGUUGCAAGAUUUUACUCCAGUUAUUUGAUGAAUAUCAUUCAAAAUUUCUUGAGAAUUUCAGUUUAGAUGAGGACAUUAAUAUGACUUCUGUUUAGUGUUGGUCAGUGUCUAAUGUAUUAAUCUGGUUUACAGUUUUCAUUUCUAAAGUCUUGGUUAGGUUUGUUUGCAUUUUGACAUUUUAAAUUCGCUUGUGAAUGAAAUUCUUAGUCUUUCUCAUCGUUUUCAGUAUUUGUUUACAGAAAAGCUUCAGGUGGCAAUGGUGUGGGCCUCAUUUCUCUAGCUAAGGAUUCAAAGCUAUUGACUAGAUAGUGUGAGGGUGGGCAGCCCUAUGACAUUCUUUAUUGUUGAGAAAACAGUUUCAGGUAGACUCCAUUGAACGUUGUGUUCACUCUGCAUUAUAUAUGGCACUUAGGCUGAGAUAAUAUUCUUCUUAAAGAAGUCAUUGUCAGCAUCAAAGAUGAUCAUGUGAUUUUUCUGGCCUUGGUUCUAUGCAUGUAAUAUAUUUCAUUUAUUGUAUGUUUAUGAAGGACAAAAUAGUGUGCAUAUUCAGAGAAUGAGCUUGAUGAAGUCCUUAGGGUAGAAUUCAGUGAGUGAAAGUGCUCCUGAGCUUUUCUUCAGUUAGAAGACAUCGCCUGGUUGAGUGGUUGUCUAGCAUCCUGUAUCCCCAGCACUCAGAAUAGUACCAGAAAGAAUAGCAGUCAUUCUCUAGUUCAUAGCCAGUAGAAUCCUUAACCAUAACACCCUUUCUUAAAAACGUGUGUUUGUAUGUGUGUGUGUGUAUGUCCCAAACAACACAAAAUUCAGUCGUAGUUAAGCAAACAAUUUUGGUGGUAAGGGGAAAUACUUUAUCCUGCUCUUCAUUUAUUAUUUCCCAUCAACAAGUAAAUUUGAACAGAGUUUGUUCCUUUGUCUAAUUCAGGACAGUGUGUGGUUGGUUUCAGCUCUCCUUUUGAUGUUGGAGUGUAUUGCUGUAAGCUUCCCUUUUUAUAAAUGCUUUUCCUCUAUAUCAAAGCCAGAAAUGAGUUGUGUUUACAUUUUGAUUUAUCUCCAGAUAGUUUUUGCUUCCCUUUUGAUUAUUUCUGUGACCCACUGAUUGGUCAGGAGUAUGUUGUGUCAUUUCCUUGUAUUUGUAAUUUUUCCAAACUUCCUGUUAUGAUUUCUUAUUUCAUCACGUUAAGGUCAGAAGCAUUACUUUAAAUUAUUUCAAUUUUCCUAAAUUUGUCGAGACUGUGGAUGAUCUUCAAUGUGAUCUACAGCAAUUGUUGUAUUUGUUGAUAACAUAUGUAUGCUUUUAGUGGUGGAAUGUUCUGGAUACUUUCGUUUCUUUUGCACUUGCGUUGUUCUUUCAGUAUUUUCUUGCUAAUUUUCUGCCUCUGCCCUAUCCACUAUUGAAUGUGACAUCUACUUGCUUUAUGUGUUUACAUCUUGGGAGCAUAGGCAUUUACUAUAUCUUCAUGGGCUUCUUCUUUGUCUCUUGUGAUAGUACUGACUUAACAUAUCUCUUUGCUUUUAUUUACAAUUUAUAUCAAGUAUCUUUUUCCAUCACUUCAUCUUCAGUAUAUGUGUACCCUCUUAGCUGUAGAUUCUCUAGUCAUUGAACACAGCCACUGAGCAAAGCUUCAGAGAUGCUCAGUUGACCUUACAGAGCUCAAGACUGGAUUCAGCCAUGCACGCGAUCCCCUGCCACAAUGAGAUGAUGCUCACUGGAUAAUUGCUCCAAAGCCAGAGGAGGAGGUGGUUCCACAGACGAGAAAGAUGAAGACAUAGAAGACACUGAAGACACAAAAAUGUAUGUCAUAGGAAUCGAUCCAGCACAAAAUAAAUGCAGAUAAGUUUUUUUAAUGAGAGAGAAAGCUCAACUGGCUGAGAAGCACUUAAAGAAAUGUUCAACAUCCUUAGUCGCCAGUAAAAUGCGAAUCAAAAUGGCUAAGAUCAAAAUCUAAGGUGCCAGCUAAUGUUGGCAAGCAUGUGAAAAGAGGAACACUCCUCCAGUGCUGGUGGGGUUGCUUCUGUGAACCCCCUGCCGCCGCCUAGCAAGGUAUUAUGGCGUGGACUUUGCCUUCAGGAACACUGUGCUAUGGACAUUCACUGACAAUACCAAGACCCAAAUGCCUGCGUGCUGCCAGCCAGCUGAAGUAAAGACGUUCUAUUGGCCAUGAACUGUGUCUGACUGGUCAGCUGGGUUGGGGCCUCCCCAUCACAGAUGCAAGUAUUGAUUCUUGAUUUCAUUAUUUUCUCUGUUUUCCUGCAGCUGACUGA